UACAGAGGGGGCAAGCGUUGUUCGGAAUUACUGGGCGUAAAGGGCGCGUAGGCGGCCUUCUAAGUCGAACGUGAAAUCCCCGGGCUCAACCCGGGAACUGCGUCCGAGACUGGAAGGCUUGAAUCCGGGAGAGGGAUGUGGAAUCCCAGGUGUAGCGGUGAAAUGCGUAGAUAUCUGGAGGAACAUCGGUGGCGAAGGCGGCAUCCUGGACCGGUAUUGACGCUGAGGCGCGAAAGCCAGGGGAGCAAACGGG
rnacentral:rRNA from 1 species